rnacentral:tRNA from 1 species
AGGGAGACCUAACCCACUUUAGACCGAGCAUUUUUUAUUAGGUCAAAGUGAGGUCAAUCCCAAGGUCGUGCCCGUGAUUUAGGUGAAGCUCUCAAACUACUCUGGGUUCAGUUGAUUAAUUAGUUUGAUUAGUUAGUUAAUCUGUAAUUGUGCUGAACUCGUGGGCUAUUAGCUCAGGUGGUUAGAGCGCACCCCUGAUAAGGGUGAGGUCCCUGGUUCGAGUCCAGGAUGGCCCACUUUAGGAGCUACUAGUUUCGGCUUUUAGCGAAUGGGGGGGUUUAGCUCAGUUGGUAGAGCGCCUGCUUUGCAAGCAGGAUGUCAGCGGUUCGAGUCCGCUAACCUCCACUGGUUAAGUUGUUUUAUCUGUUGGGAAAGUUCUACAGCAACUUGUCUUAAGUAGUUAAUAGACUAGCUAAGAGAGCCUGCUGGAGAGAUUCCAGUGAGAACCUUGAAAACUGCAUAGUGAUUUGUCAGGUAGGGAGUAGAUGCUCUAGCGAAAGGUUUAACAGUCUGUCGUUAGGUGCGAACUACUCGUAUCAUAGACACCAAUGUUGAAAUUGU